rnacentral:rRNA from 1 species
GGCUUAUAAUUGAAGUCUGGCAUGAAAGAAUCUACGGGUAAUUACUGUCUCCCUUGGAGACCUUGAAUUUCCUUAAAGGGUGAAAAUGCCCUUUGAUAAAUAAUAGACGAGAAGACCCUAGAAAUUUUUUAUACUAUAAGAUAAUCUUAUUUCUAUUUUGUUGGGGCGACAGAAUAACAUUUAACUUAUUUUAUUUAAUAUGAACUAUAUAUUGAGCAAAAAUAAAUUACUCUAGGGAUAACAGCAUAAUUUGAUAAAGUUUGUGACCUCGAUGUUGGACUAGGGAUUUUAUUAACCAGCAGUUAAUGAAACAGGCUCUGU